rnacentral:rRNA from 1 species
GAGAAUUGCUAGCUUGCUAAUAAUUCUCUAGUGGCGCACGGGUGAGUAACACGUGAGUACCUGCCCCCAAGAGUGGGAUAGCCCCGGGAAACUGGGAUUAAUACCGCAUAAAGCAAUAAAGCAGCAAUGCGCUUGGGGAUGGGCUCGCGUCCUAUUAGUUAGUUGGUGAGGUAACGGCUCACCAAGGCGAUGACGGGUAGCCGGUCUGAGAGGAUGUCCGGCCACACUGGAACUGAGACACGGUCCAGACACCUACGGGUGGCAGCAGUCGAGAAUCAUUCACAAUGGGGGAAACCCUGAUGGUGCGACGCCGCGUGGGGGAUAAGGUCUUCGGAUUGUAAACCCCUGUCAUGUGGGACAUUAAAAAGAUAGUACCACAAGAGGAAGAGACGGCUAACUCUGUGCCAGCAGCCGCGGUAAUACAGAGGUCUCAAGCGUUGUUCGGAAUCACUGGGCGUAAAGCGUGCGUAGGCGGUUUCGUAAGUCGUGUGUGAAAGGCGGGGGCUCAACCCCCGGACUGCACAUGAUACUGCGAGACUAGAGUAAUGGAGGGGGAACCGGAAUUCUCGGUGUAGCAGUGAAAUGCGUAGAUAUCGAGAGGAACACUCGUGGCGAAGGCGGGUUCCUGGACAUUAACUGACGCUGA